GAUGAACGCUGGCGGCGUGCUUAACACAUGCAAGUCGAACGAUGAAGCCCAGCUUGCUGGGUGGAUUAGUGGCGAACGGGUGAGUAACACGUGAGCAACCUGCCCCUGACUCUGGGAUAAGCGCUGGAAACGGCGUCUAAUACUGGAUAUGUCCCGUCACCGCAUGGUGUGCGGGUGGAAAGAUUUUUCGGUUGGGGAUGGGCUCGCGGCCUAUCAGCUUGUUGGUGAGGUAAUGGCUCACCAAGGUGUCGACGGGUAGCCGGCCUGAGAGGGUGACCGGCCACACUGGGACUGAGACACGGCCCAGACUCCUACGGGAGGCAGCAGUGGGGAAUAUUGCACAAUGGGCGGAAGCCUGAUGCAGCAACGCCGCGUGAGGGAUGACGGCCUUCGGGUUGUAAACCUCUUUUAGCAGGGAAGAAGCGAAAGUGACGGUACCUGCAGAAAAAGCACCGGCUAACUACGUG
rnacentral:rRNA from 1 species